GCCUGGGUGGCUCAGUCGUGAAAGCAUCCGACUUCGGCUCAGGUCAUGAUCUCAGGGUCCGUGGGUUCGAGCCCCACGUCGGGCU
rnacentral:tRNA from 1 species